rnacentral:ncRNA from 1 species
AUAAAAGCGAUGAAAAAGCAGAGUAACAAUUCAGCUAGUUCAAGAGAGUCCCUACUUUCUGGAAACGGGAUAACUACUAAAUUGCGAAAGUAUCUUUGGAGCUAUAUACCGAAAUCCUUUUGGAGAGUAACGUAUAUUGGGUACACCCAUUACAGUGUUAGCGUAUGUUAGUACGUGAAGUGGCUAGGCUAUUUGUCUGGCAAUAAAGGUGGUACCGUGCACAAAGCACCCUUGGU